GACGAACGCUGGCGGCGUGCCUAAUACAUGCAAGUAGAACGCUGAAGGAGGAGCUUGCUCUUCUGGAUGAGUUGCGACGGGUGAGUAACGCGUAGGUAACCUGCCUGGUAGCGGGGGAUAACUAUUGGAAACGAUAGCUAAUACCGCAUAAAAUUGAUUAUUGCAUGAUAGUCAAUUAAAAGGUGCAAUUGCAUCACUACCAGAUGGACCUGCGUUGUAUUAGCUAGUUGGUGAGGUAACGGCUCACCAAGGCAACGAUACAUAGCCGACCUGAGAGGGUGAUCGGCCACACUGGGACUGAGACACGGCCCAGACUCCUACGGGAGGCAGCAGUAGGGAAUCUUCGGCAAUGGACGGAAGUCUGACCGAGCAACGCCGCGUGAGUGAAGAAGGUUUUCGGAUCGUAAAGCUCUGUUGUAAGAGAAGAACGAGUGUGAGAGUGGAAAGUUCACACUGUGACGGUAUCUUACCAGAAAGGGACGGCUAACUACGUG
rnacentral:rRNA from 1 species